UUUUUUUUUUGAGGGAGAUAGAUAGUAGCACGUUACUCACUUCGUUUAUUUCAUUUGAAAAUAAACUUAGCUAAAAAUGUGAAUCAACUAGGAUUCGAACUUGGGUCUCGGGUAUCAACCACUAAGCCAUUUGUCACUUGCUCUAGAGACAGUCGGUGAAAAUCAAAAUUGUUAGGAGGUACUUUUAGUCUUUAAGCAACAUGUUUGAAUCGCAGAUUAAAAUUCGUCAAAGUAGGUUUGCAAAAAACUUAAGGGUAAACUUUAAAUACUAUUUCUGUUAUUUCAUAUUUUUUUACUUUAGUAUCUUGUGGUUUAAGAUGUAUCAAGUUAGUGUCAUGUGAUUUCAUUUUUAUCUUUUCGUCAGCUUUUUUCGUUAAUAUUUCGUUAAAUUAUAUACAAAAAAUUUUAGAUAGCAUAUCUAAGUUUAUUGAAUAUUCACUUUAGUACCUUUAGUUUUAAUUUCGUUACUAAUUUAACGAAAAAAAUUAGUAGAAUCGAUAAUAAAAAGAUAAAAAUGAAACCAAAUAGCACUAAAUUGGUACAAUUUAAACCACGUGGCACGAAAGUGACAAAGUGUGAAACCACGAUGUGAUAUUUGAAGUUUUCCCAAAACUAAUUACCUAGCAGAUGUGGUAUUUUUUAAGAGAUAGAUAGUACGUUACCCGCUUCGUUUAUUUUAUUUAGAAAUAAACUUAGCUGGAAAUAUAAAUCAACUAGAUUUCGAACUUGGGUUUCGAAUACCAAUUAUCAAGCCUUUUAUCAUUUGCUCUAGGGACGGUCGGUCCUAGCAGAUGUGGUCAAAUAAAAU
rnacentral:lncRNA from 1 species